AUUGAACGCUGGCGGCAUGCCUUACACAUGCAAGUCGAACGGUAGCGGGCCUUCGGGUGCCGACGAGUGGCGAACGGGUGAGUAAUGUAUCGGAACGUACCUUUCAGUGGGGGAUAACGUAGCGAAAGUUGCGCUAAUACCGCAUAUUCUGUGAGCAGGAAAGCAGGGGAUCGCAAGACCUUGCGCUGAUUGAGCGGCCGAUAUCAGAUUAGCUAGUUGGUGAGGUAAAGGAUCACCAAGGCGACGAUCUGUAGCGGGUCUGCGAGGAUGAUCCGCCACACUGGAACUGAGACACGGUCCAGACUCCUACGGGAGGCAGCAGUGGGGAAUUUUGGACAAUGGGGGCAACCCUGAUCCAGCCAUGCCGCGUGAGUGAAGAAGGCCUUCGGGUUGUAAAGCUCUUUCGGCCGGGAAGAAAUCGUAUCAGCUAAUACCUGGCGCGGAUGACGGUACCGGCAUAAGAAGCACCGGCUAACUACGUGCCAGCAGCCGCGGUAAUAC
rnacentral:rRNA from 1 species